AGUUGAGUUGAGUUGAGUUGUUAAAAAUUAUGUUUAUGCUAUGUAAGUACUAAUACUUUUUUUUUUAAAAAAAGAAACUUAUUUCUAUGUUUUGAUUCUAGUACUGAAGCACAUUAAGUUGCAGCAAGUGCCACUUGCAAGCACACAACUUUUAAGUAUCAGGCAAGCACAUAGUUCAAUGAAAUAAUCUAACAAAAUUUCCUCGACCUUAGAAUUUAACAAGCUGUCCCUGAUCAAUAUGUAAAAGCAAUAAAAAAGAAGCUUUUCACUGCCAUACAGGUUCAUGUAAACGUUUUGGUUUUGCAAGGUUGGAUGUGUUGAAAGAGACAUAAGUGUUUCUAACUGUCUCUAAAAGUUUUUAGCUUUCUCUUCUGCUUUACAGUGGUAACUUAGCCUGCUGAUGUGAUUGUAACUCUGAAUAUCAUACUAUGCUACAAUAUAAUUAUAAUCUGUGUUGAGGCUUUAGAAAGAAAGAAGGGAGAGAAAGGGAGAGAAUUG
rnacentral:misc_RNA from 1 species